GGGCGCGCGGCGCGGGGGGCCCGGCGGUGACAAAAAACGGUCCAGGAAUGAUAAAAAAAGACUCCGGGAAUGACAAAAGAGACUCCGGCGGUGACAAAAAAAGGGGCUGAUUUGUCUUCAGAGUCUGCUCGGAGCUGUGAACUUAGCGGUUGGGCGGUGCGGCGUUGUUGCGGUGUUCGGCCGGCGACCUGGUGGCCCCCGGCUCCCCCGGGGCCACCAUAUCGAUGCCGGCCUUAGCUUGGACGCCCGCUCGGCACAGCGCACGGCAGCCCAGAACCCCCGGGCUCAGCGGUCCGCCAGCCUCAGCCUCCCCGGAGCUUGGAUUACAGGCACAAGCCACCGUGCCCGGCUGCUCCCUCCGCUGCCUCGGCUCCCCGUCAGCCCGGGAGCGGCUCCUCGGCAGCGGCAGCAGCGCGGUGGGAGGAGCAGCAGGCACACGGAGCAGAAUUUAGCUUUUCAAGUGAGCAUCCAGCACAGUGCUUUGGUUUAGACAGGUCAGGGUGUGCUGGUGUAAGUUUUAAGUUCGUGGCUCUGCUCUGGGAUGUUGCCCAGAGAGAGAUCAGAGGGAUUUGCAGAAUGUCUGAGGCGCAGCAUGCUCCUUGCAGAUGGAAUGAGGUGAAUGAUUCUCAGCAAAGGAUAGAAAAAUAACAAAAACCUAAGGCAAGGAAUAAAAUUCAGGAGCUCCCUGUUUUUAUUCAUUCCCUGCCACAACAGGCUGCUGCCUAGGAAAUCAUUCACUGAGGAUUUUUCAUCUGAACUCUGUGUUUUGCCUCUGUCAAAGUG